AUCCAGACUCCUACGGGAGGCAGCAGUGGGGAAUAUUGCACAAUGGGGGAAACCCUGAUGCAGCAACGCCGCGUGAAGGAAGACGGUUUUCGGAUUGUAAACUUCUGUUCUUAGUGAAGAAGAAUGACGGUAGCUAAGGAGCAAGCCACGGCUAACUACGUGCCAGCAGCCGCGGUAAUACGUAGGUGGCAAGCGUUGUCCGGAAUUACUGGGUGUAAAGGGAGCGCAGGCGGGAAAGCAAGUCAGAUGUGAAAACCACGGGCUCAACCUGUGGCCUGCAUUUGAAACUGUUUUUCUUGAGUACUGGAGAGGCAGACGGAAUUCCUAGUGUAGCGGUGAAAUGCGUAGAUAUUAGGAGGAACACCAGUGGCGAAGGCGGCCUACUGGACGGUGACUGACGCUGAGGCUCGAAAGCGUGGGGAGCAAACAGGAUUAGAUACCCCCGUA
rnacentral:rRNA from 1 species